ensembl:lncRNA
GCUAGAUGCUAACUAGGGUGGACGGGGCUAGAUGCUAACUAGGGUGGAUGGGGCUACAGGCUAACUAUGGUGUUGUGGAUGGGGCUAGAGGCUAACUAGGGUGUUGUGGAUGGGGCUAGAGGCUAACAAGGGUGUACGGGGCUAGAUGCUAACUAGGGUGUUGUGGACGGGGCUAGAGGAUAACUAGGGUGGACGUGGCUAGAGGCUAACUAGGGUGUUGUGGACGGGGCUAGAGGCUAACUAGGGUGGAUGGGGCUAGAGGCUAACUAGGGUGGAUGGGGCUAGAGGCUAACUAGGGUGGAAGGGGCUAGAGGCUAACUGAGGUGUUGUGGACAAGGCUAGAGGCUAACUAUGGUGGACGGGGCUGGAGGCUAACUGAGGUGGACGGGGCUAGAGGCUAAAUAGGGUGGACGGGGCUAGAUGCUAACUGAGGUGUUGUGGACAGGGCUAGAGGCUAACUAUGGUGGACGGGGCUAGAGGCUAACUAGGGUGGUCGGGGCUAGAGGCUAACUGAGGUGGACGGGGCUAGAGGCUAACUAGGGUGGACGGGGCUAGAGGCUAACUGAGGUGGACGGGGAUAGAUGCUAACUGAGGUGGAUGGGGCUAGAAGCUAACUGAGGUGGACGGGGAUAGAUGCUAACUGAGGUGGAAGGGCUAGAUGCUAACUAGGGUGUUGUGGACAGGGCUAGAGGCUAAGUAGGGUGGACGGGGCUAGAGGCUAACUGAGGGUGUUGUGGACGGGGC